rnacentral:piRNA from 1 species
UAAAAAGUUGCCUUUUGCCCAGCACCC